GUACUUCCAAAGUACAUAUACUAAAAUUGGAACGAUACAGAGAAGAUUAGCAUGGCCCCUGUGCAAGGAUGACACAAAAAAUCGUGAAGCGUUCCAGGUUUUU
rnacentral:snRNA from 1 species